rnacentral:tRNA from 1 species
AGGAAGGUGGCUCAGCAGGUAGAGCACAGGACUUGCAUGCCUGUGGCUGCAGAAAGUUUGGAAGCAGGUAAGAGGUAGGCACACCUCUAGCACCAGCAGUGUGUUUUUCCUG